AGCUUUGUGCUCAAUUACCCGACGCACAUCCAGAAUAAGCCCUGCUAGACCUGGCUACAAAUACUAAACCUUGCCCGAACCAACACCCAUUACAGUCGUUGGACUCCAAGCGAAGUGCGCUAGCAUCUUUUCAAAAGGAAGUUACGUCUCUCUAGCAAAGAUUUCUGACUGAAAUAUGAAGACCAUUUGUGUCCUGUUCGUUCUGGUGGUGAUCUUCUCCUUGGUCCUUGCACAUGCAGGAGAUAAUGUCGAGGAAGGAUUCAAUGAAGAAAUGGAUCUGGAAAAAGGCAAAGAGUUCCUGAAAGUCCGCAAGCGUUAUGCCUGCAGUAAACAUAGCGACUGCGAUAAGUCAAAUGGUGGACCCGGAGGAGAUUGUGUUUAUUGGACCUGUGCACCGGGAAAGUAGUUGUGUUCUCCAAUCCAUCUGCGUACAGGGUUCCAUAUAUUAUCAAACUAUUGAUAUCAUUUGUCUGUACGAAUGAAGACAUCUUUGGAGCAAUAAAGUGUUCUGUGUGUUA